rnacentral:lncRNA from 1 species
GUAGUAGGCAAGUGGUUGGACAAAAAGCAAGAAGCGGAUCCAUGUUGCUGGCUUUGGAUUCUUUGAACAAAUGAGACAGGCUCUGCUUUCUGCAAGGAACUCGAGGCAGGACAGCAUGAUGAUACACUAGAAUGAAGGCGAAUUGUCUGUCUGUGAAUGGGCUUCAAAGAGAACUUGGGGAAACACCAGACCAGAGGCUCAUUGGAAUCAGAGCAUACAGAAUAGAAUGGACAGGCCCCCAUCCAGCUCUCACAAGUUCAAGUAUACGCUAACAAGUAUCUGAGUCUUCCACGAAGAACAGGAGGAGAAGCUCCCCCAGCCUGGUCAAGCCUUUUGAACAUCUGUAAAAGUACAUGUGACACGGAGAAGAAGCAGAGAACAAAAGAGCGUGUGGACAAACAUUCAGGAAUCCCAAUCGCAGGAGACUUUGGCCCUCUUUCUAGAUCUAAUUAUAAAACUGCAAAUGAUGCUGGCCUAUUCCAAGGAAGUUGUUGCUCUCACUCUAGAUGUGGUCUCUGGCGACAAGUAAAGGUGGGGAAGAUGGGGGCAGGGAGCGCCUCUUUGCCUCUGUCAUGAUCCAUUGUGAGCCAGUGUGGCCUUUCCAUCAGCCCGGUUGUUGGCUGCAUGCUCAGGAUUCUGAAAAAUCUAGUUACCUCCCUGUAUCUUUCUGUACCUGUAGAGAGUACAUCUGUAUGAUCUAGUCCAGUGGUUCUCAGAAUGUGGAUGAGACGACCUUUUGCUGAAGGCAGAUUUCCACAGGAGGGAGGUUAAGAAAGCCAAUUCUUGGGUUCCACCCCAGAUCUUCAGCAGUCUGUUCUGAUGAGCCUUCCAGGUGAUUCUGAAGCUGGCUUAAGUUUGCAAACCACUUCCCUGGGUCUCUUCCCUCUCACCCUGGCUUUCAAGCUUAGGUGGGCUUCACCGUUGAUUCCAUACGCUGCCCAGAGAAUGGGCUCAGAAACAAAAGAUUUCUUUCUUUACCUCUUGAUAGCCAAGAGGUAAAUAAAGGGCUAGAACUGUGUAGGUACCUACCUGGAUUACAGAGAGCUAUUUGCUGGACUUUGGAAGUCAGCUGUUUGGAAUGUGAGCUGUUUUCCUGGGAGUGGUGGUUAGGUUCCCAUAGCAUCAUAGUUAAUCCUGAAUCCAGCCAAAAUAUUGCUGUGUCACAAUGAAAUGGAGCAGAUCAUGAUGCUCCUGUAGUAUUAGAAACCAAUCAGAACUAAAUAAAGCAAUAAAUAAAACACAGGGAUAGUAUUUUAUUUAUGCCAGUACUGUGGUGGAAGAAAAGGUUGAUUUGGAGGUGGUGAAAAGGUAAAUGGGGAUUUGUCAAGAUUAUGACGGAGUGGCUGGCCUUUCCCUUUAGAAUGUCAUGGUACUAAGUUCUCUAGUUAGAUUUGUCUUGAAUGUGGUUCUGGCCUGUUACUUUAUCUUCUUCUGAAGUCACAUUUCUCACUAGGAGGGAGGUAAAGAAUGCUGAGGCAAGUUGGCAAGAGUUGAAAAGGAGCAUGGAAAGAGUAAGGGACUAAAAGAGAAUGUGGGUUUGCUUUUCAUGAACACGAGCAUCAGCAGAGACAGGACUCGAGUUGUGAGCGGUGAGAGAUGGCUGGGCCAAGAGAGGGUCAGCAUUCUUCGCUGACAAAAGAGAGGAAAGAAAGCAGACAAAAAAGCCGACCACAUCGCUCGGAAGCUGCUGUUCUGGAAGCGUUUCUGCCCCUCGUAUUGUCCUGAGAAUUGGCCCUCAACAGUCACCUUUCAUGUCAUCUUGCUCCUCUCUGGCCACAGAUGGGCAGCUAACCAGAGGCCUUGACAAUGACCACUGAUAUGGCAUAAGAAGAUGAGCUGGACCAAUCCAACGUCCUCCCUUUUCCUUCUAGGCAUUUGAACUUGGAAAUACCCAGAAUGGUUGUUCGAUCUGUGAUGGGAAGAAGUACGUGGCUGUGAGCAUGUUACUUGUUUUCCAGUCAAAUGCUUCUAGCUUGCUUUCCUCUGGUGGCUAAAAUACUUUCUUCAGGGGUUCACCCUGCAUUUAUUCAGGAUUUUAUUUUUGUACCAUAAAAAUGAUCCUCGCUGACGGUUGCAUGGCUGGAUUUGGGGAAAUGUGGUAGCCCUAAUGGAAUUAAUUAAUUGAAUAAUAUUGCCUGACAAAUGGCUCUGUAUACCAAAGAGGGAUUGAGACCUAAUUACCGAUGUCAUUUAUCUCUCUAUUUGCACCCCAACAAUAAAUGACUCGUUUCUCAUUAACGUUGGGUCAUCUUCCAAAAGGAGGAAAAAGAGGCCAAAAUCUCAGGAAGGGAAGAAAAAAAAACCGAUGUCUUUGUUCCCCACCUCAUUAUCCUGAUAAAUCACAACAGACUCUGUUAAUUAGAUGGGCAGCUUUAACUGGCUGACUCCUGUCCAACAAUUACCUCAGAGAGACGCACCACUGGGAAUAUUUCCUUCCCUUGGGAGGAGAUGAAAGGAAGUCUGUAACAAAAAAAAAAAAAA